UACGGGGGGGGCAAGCGUUGUUCGGAAUUACUGGGCGUAAAGGGCUCGUAGGCGGCCAACUAAGUCAGACGUGAAAUCCCCAGGCUCAACCUGGGAACUGCGUCUGAUACUGGAUGGCUUGAAUCCGGGAGAGGGAUGCAGAAUUCCAGGUGUAGCGGUGAAAUGCGUAGAUAUCGGAAGGAACAUCAGUGGCGAAAGCGGCUUCCUGGACCAGUACCGACGUUCAGGCACGAAAGCGUGGGGAGCGAACAGG
rnacentral:rRNA from 1 species